UAUUACGGCCGUCUCCUAGUCAUGCGGCGUUGCCUGAUGGCUCGACAAGCCACUCCCAGAGCCGCGUAAUUAUAAACUUUUAUUACGCGCGCGCCCGCACGCAAAGAAAUCGAAAUCGGCGUGCGCAAGAAGAGCGUGUGCGCGCGCGCGCACGCGGUUCUACUAGGCUGUUGCAUAACGCGACGUGUACAACCCAUUCAUUCCAAGAACGAAAUCGAAUAUGCACCCACGACCUACGCCAACUAAUGCACUGCAUUGUGCAUGCGCACGCAUUCCAAGAAAACAAAAUGCACACAACGCAUAAGUCAUUACUGACUGAGCAUUGUUUAAUUUAAAAUGUGUGCACACCGAGCAGCUGGUUGUCAUGAAAUUAACAACAAAAGCCUCGCGGAUAAAAUCAACCAGCUGCCAGUCAACUCAAGUGUAUGCUUCUACAAGAAAAGUUAAAACUCAACACACGCACCGAGGGUAAUUCGAUAAUUUUCGGUGAAAAAUUCAGUUUCCCAUCGGAAAAAAAUCCAACCCGUUCCCAGACUGUGAGACUGCAAGCGUCAACACCACACACAAAACACAAUGGGAGUGUGCUUGCAUUGUUUACACUCUGAGAAAUGUGAAUCAAUGCGAUUGUUGGCGCGACGAGAACGCAUCCCAGGAUGUAAGUGUAGUUGUUGAUGGUGGAUGGCAAAAGCGCAAACGUGCAAGGCAACAGGGCAGUGAUCCUAGACCGUGAGAAAGUUCUUGUAGGAUCAAGGCCAUCAUGUGCAGACGACGACGAGCGCAAGCGCAAGGCGCGCGCGCGACUGGUUUGACUACCACCGAUGAUUUCUUUUGUUUGUGCCAACCGAACACAACCAGCCGGCCGCCAGGCCAGCAAAGAGUAAAAACUAUCGAGUAAGAGAAUUAAAAACCCUUUUAUUUUUAAAUGUCGAAACAAAAACGAGAUAUUCUUUCUCUCUGCGAGCCGGCGACACCACCUGUGCGCUGCGGCUGUACCCGACUAACGGUACCUUCCGAAAGGGGGCCAGCGGGACCAGGUAGACGCUUUUCGAAAAGCGACUCGCUCGUUUUCGAAACCGGCACGAAUAUAAUUCUCUUGUGAAAGCUGUGCUGCUGCGCGCCACACUCGGGUCGAUCGGGCAUCACACGGCUGGUGUUGUGUGUGACGUAGCCGACGUAGGAACCGAAACCGGUUGAAACGUGGGCUCAGCAGAGCACACGCAACGCGCGAGUGACGAUGACAGACGACGGCGCGCAUACACACACACACGCCGAAACCAGCCGACCGUGCAAAAAUAAAACAUUACGAAACCAAACCACCACCACCAACAUCACGUAGUCCUCCUCCAAACAACCAAAACAGAAGUUUUACUUUUUCUGCGCUCGCACACACUAAUGAGCAAUGGUGAAUAAUUAUUAUUCAUAGUUAUAAAUAAUUUGCCGUUGCGCGUCGUCAUCUGCUCAACGGCAGAAUGAAUCCGUUAAUUCGCCGCACACACAACUGGUUUUAUUUUCUGUACAGUUGCGGCCGCGCGCGCUCUCAACGCGACUAGUGUAAACGAUAACGCAUACGAAAAUAAACAUUACGUCACAGAUUCGGCGCCCGCCCAUUGAACCGGAUGCAUAACCAACUAAGCGCAAACACUCUUCCGACUCUCUUUUAAAACUCUGACCAAUCUCCGAAUAGUUUCUUAUCUCACCAUUGGGUUUAAACGAGGCGGCCGCAUCAAACAAACCCGUUCGUAGUUUCUCCUGCUUGAAGUUGCGUUCGGCUGUGACGCUGAACGUCUGCGCCAGGGAGACUGCUGGUAGUGACUCUCCACGAGUUAAGGGUGGUCGUACAGUGACGGCAGCGCUGUGUUCCUCAACGGACAUCAUGCGUUUCGAGCCGCCGUUCACCUCGCCGUUUGUAUGACCAUGAUGCCCAUGGUGUUCGUCUUCCUCAGUUGUGGACAAGCCACGCUUUAAUCCCUGAAGGUUAGCUGGUCUUCCACUACUCGCCGAAUGAUGAUGAGCUUGCAUUGGAUGAUGUGCGCCAGCCGGCAGAUGACUGGGUAUCCGCACUGUUGUCCUAGCCACCAUCGCUUCGUGAUCCUCUCGUGUGGCUUCCUGCAGACCAGGCCGUGACAUUGAGCUACCUCGAAGCGGUGCUGUUUGAUACUCGGUCAACAUGCCGGGUCUGGUAUGCUGCAUGGUGUAGGUUCCAGUGUGAUGCGCCCCCGCAGCUGCUGCAGCCGCGGCCGCUGUCUGUUGUUGCUGGCGACUUGAUGUCGCUACAUCCCCGUUCUGAUGCUCAUGUCCACUGCUGGAGGUUCUGUGACUCUUGGAGCUGUGUGCGGAGCGUUGCUCCUGAAAACCGUGGGCGCGUUUCAUCUGCCUUGCUGUUUCCAGCACGAUCUCAAUACGAUCGGCGCCCUCGUAAUUCACACAACCGCGGCACACCGCCUCCGAGAAAUCGUGCACCAUCGCCCACGGCAUGCGGGGCAGGUCGCACAGAUAGCACUGCUGCCGCUUAGCCUGCUGCAUUUGCAUCACCGACAUUUUCACCAUCAGUUUUCACGCUAGAAGAUACCAAACACACAACGCGCACGCACUACUGGGGCACAAUAUCUAAUAAUCCAAAUGUAAUGUAAUAAUCCAAUAAAUCGAACUAAAAAGCC